rnacentral:lncRNA from 1 species
GAAAAAUCACAUCAUAAAUUGAUAUGAAUGACAAAUCAUAUUAUAUAUGAAAUCCUCUCAGCCAAAUCAUUCUAUAAACAAAAAUGAGGGUAAAAGAUUGACUCAAGUUUGACACAAAUAAUAGACAAGAUGAAAACUAAUAUUAACUAAAGACCACAUAUGUUUUCCUGAUGAUUGCAAUGUAAGGAUGGCUUUCAUGAACCAUCUGGUUUGGACUAGGACUGCAGAGUUGCCUGCGAAGUUGCUUGAGCCCUCUAGAGAAAAUCAAGCAGAUUAUCCGUCUCCUUUUACUUCUUUGCCCAGACUUCAUUCUUCUCUUGUUGGAUCUUCUUUAGAGCUUCCAAUUCUUCUUGUUGCUUCUUUUGUAUCUCUUCAAAUGCUCUCUCUCAUGCUUCAAGUCUUGCGGCUAACUCCUCCCAAUGCCUAUAAAUGAAAAACACAACAACCUUGCAUCAUAAUGAGAUGAAAACUAACAAGAUAACAUGCAUAACCUAGAGCUAGAGGUAUAAUGGUUAAAGUACAUGUAAUCAAUGCACCCCUUAGCUUAGCAUACACAUCACACAUGCGUUUAUGUUCCGCGAGGAAUGCCCUCCUUUUCGUCUCACUCUCCCAAACUAGUGGCAUGAUUGUAGUACCUAAACCUGCAAGAUGAAAAAGAGUGGAACUAAAUGAAUUGCAAAAUACUUACUAGCAUGUGCCAUAAAACUAAUUAAAUGAAUUCCACCUCAAGUCGUUUGGAAUUGGACCUUAGACAAUGCAACAAUUUUUCAUGCGCAUACGAACUUUCCUAAAACAAACAAGAAUGUAAUAAAGUAGCAAAAUUAGCACGCAAAUACAUGUUUGUCUUUGCAUUGAUGGUAAAAAUUAACAAAACAGGUUCUGUAACGUAGUACUUUCAAUAAGCAGCACUAUUAAUAGGCAUUUCACGUAAUAUUGUAUUAACUAAAAAUGAAGAUUUUUCAAUGCUAGAAGACGCAGCCAGCAAGCCUAUGAAAACAAGAUGAGAAAAUUCAGAAGAGAAAAAUGGCAAAACCUAAGAUUACUAUAGAUGAUACACAAGUGCUUGACUAGAAAGAUUACUUACAAAAACUUGCCAAUAAUGGUAGCAAAGAUUUCCUAGUACAUUACGAAGCUAUUUACUCAAUCAAGCAAUUUAAUUUGAUGGCAAUGUGAUAAAAUAUAAUAUAAGAAACAAGGACUCCACAAAUAUUAGAGCAUCUCUGAGUGCAAUGCUGGACCAAAUCCCGUCCACGCCCUCCUCCACCUUCAGCCUGCUCAAAAAGAUUUCAGCUAAUCAGGUUAUCACUGUUCAGAUAUAUGUUCUGUGUUAGCAAAUUGUUUGCCUAUCAUAUCCCCAAUAGUCCGUCCUGCUCAUGCUUGUUGCACUCAUGUAAUUGAAAAAUAAAAGUAUAAAACUCCUAGUGAUUACAUAUUUCAGUUGAAAAACAUCAAUUGCUAUCUAAGUGUUGAUAAGCUGCAGGUGCCAACGUUAGUCAUUAUCUCCAUAGUAAAAACAUACUAAUAGAAGCAUGGGUAAACACGUCAAAACUACAGCAAGAAACAUUUUGCUCACCUUGGGUUCAGUCUUCUCAUCGACGAUGUCAGCUUUGAACUUGAGAAAUCCCACACACGCAGACACGCUGAACAUGUCCAGUCCUACACAGCCAGCAAGUGCCAUUGAUUUCCUGCUCAAACAUUUAAAUGGAGAGAAUGGGAGGAGGAGCGCCACAACAAAGCAUCUGGACGGGAGCAGCGCCGCAAAAUGCCUACGACCGUGGCCUCAUCAGGG